UCCAGCUUGGACAACAGAGCAAGACUCCAUCUUAAAGAAAAAAGAUGUAAGAAUGUAAAUAAACUCUAAAACAUCUGCCUUCUGUAGGAUACUAGACCCCGCUAUCCACCUUUCAC